UACGGAGGGUGCAAGCGUUACUCGGAAUCACUGGGCGUAAAGGAUGCGUAGGCUGGAGAUCAAGUCAGGAGUGAAAUCCAACGGCUCAACCGUUGAACUGCUUCUGAAACUGGUCACCUAGAAUAUGGGAGAGGUAGAUGGAAUUAGUGGUGUAGGGGUAAAAUCCGUAGAUAUCACUAGGAAUACCGAUUGCGAAGGCGAUCUACUGGAACAUUAUUGACGCUGAGGCAUGAAAGCGUGGGGAUCAAACAGG
rnacentral:rRNA from 1 species